rnacentral:rRNA from 1 species
UACGGAGGGUGCAAGCGUUAUCCGGAUUUACUGGGUUUAAAGGGUGCGUAGGCGGACCUUUAAGUCAGUGGUGAAAGCUCCCGAGCUUAACUCGGAAACUGCCAUUGAUACUAUUUGUCUUGAAUUCGGUUGAGGUUGGCGGAAUGUGUCGUGUAGCGGUGAAAUGCUUAGAUAUGACACAGAACACCGAUGCGAAGGCAGCUAGCUAAACCGACAUUGACGCUGAGGCACGAAAGCGUGGGGAGCAAACAGG